AUUGAACGCCGGCGGCAUGCCUUACACAUGCAAGUCGAACGGUAUCAGGUCUUCGGAUGCUGACGAGUGGCGAACGGGUGAGUAAUACAUCGGAACGUGCCUAGUAGUGGGGGAUAACUACUCGAAAGAGUGGCUAAUACCGCAUGAGAUCUACGGAUGAAAGCAGGGGAUCGCAAGACCUUGUGCUACUAGAGCGGCCGAUGGCAGAUUAGGUAGUUGGUGGGAUAAAAGCUUACCAAGCCGACGAUCUGUAGCUGGUCUGAGAGGACGAUCAGCCACACUGGGACUGAGACACGGCCCAGACUCCUACGGGAGGCAGCAGUGGGGAAUUUUGGACAAUGGGCGCAAGCCUGAUCCAGCAAUGCCGCGUGCAGGAUGAAGGCCUUCGGGUUGUAAACUGCUUUUGUACGGAACGAAAAGCCCCGGGUUAAUACCCUGGGGUCAUGACGGUACCGUAAGAAUAAGCACCGGCUAACUACGUGCCAGCCGCCGCAGUAA
rnacentral:rRNA from 1 species